CAUGGACCUCACCAUGGGUGAGGUCCUUAAAGGGGACAUGCAUAUGCGCACCAGCGUGCCUUCUGUCCCUGUCUUACUGUCCCCAUUUAUUUGUAUUUACUUCCUUUGUUCCUGUUUAUGUUCAUACUUAUACUUGUUAUCUUAUUUAUUAAUUAUUAAAA